AUGCCUGCCUUUAAUUUUUCCUUGCCUUAUCUUCACCGUACUGAAACAGAGCUGAGGUGCACGUGCUUCGGCACCGGCGAGCUCCGCAUGCCGCCGGUGAUGUCGCUCGAGAGCAUCAGGAGGCAAAGCGUGACGUCCUCCUGCUCCUCCUCGAACGCGCUCAGCAUCGGCUGCGGCGGCAUGGGGGCCAACGCUGCCACGCGCAUCGGACUGUGCCUCCACCUGGGCAACACGACCAUCACAGCAACCGGCGGCCGCCUCCAUCUCGUUGUGGGCCUCCGGCAGCGCCUUGCUGAGUGA
rnacentral:rRNA from 1 species